UCCAUUUAUCGGCUGGUCAGAGACUCCCGCCGGGGUGUGGCUUUGCACAUCUGCAGGCUUUUGUCACCAUAAAUGAAGUGUUGCCCGAUUAUGAAAUAAUUAUACGCAUUGUCUGCACAGGGGCAGCAGGCUUCCCAAGCUUAUAAAGCCAUUGUGAUUCGGUCAAUGUGUCUGCAGUGUUUCUAUUGAAAGCUGACUUUGGCAGGCUUUUAGUUUGUUUUCAUUUAAGCAAACCGUCAGCCAUGUAACAGGCUACAAAAUGUAUUUACUUUAUAGUCUCAACACACAACAACACGUACAAUAGAACCAACCUGCUUCAAUAAUCUUCAAAAAUUGCCUUCAAACGGGCAGUCCGCUAUGCCUAUCAUAUUUAACCCUGGCUAUAUUGGACCCCAUCCGCCUUGUUGUGAUACGGACUGUACCGAUGAAAGUGAAUGUCCGAAUGCCGAGUGCGGGCCAUGCCCAGGACCUAGAGCGCCUUGUGGCGGCUGUUCACCAUCUGCAGAUAACCGACAGGAAUGUACAGAAGAAGAUUUUGAAGCUGGUAACAAUAAAUCGGACCCACCAUGCCCAUCCUCAACUCCAACAAAUACAAAUUAACCAUAUUUAGAAUAAAAUAAAUGUAAUUUAAGUACAAA